rnacentral:rRNA from 1 species
UACGUAGGGUGCAAGCGUUGUCCGGAAUUAUUGGGCGUAAAGAGCUCGUAGGCGGCUUGUCGCGUCGGCUGUGAAAACUCGGGGCUUAACCCCGAGCCUGCAGUGGAUACGGGCAGACUAGAGGUAGGUAGGGGAGAAUGGAAUUCCCGGUGUAGCGGUGAAAUGCGCAGAUAUCGGGAGGAACACCGGUGGCGAAGGCGGUUCUCUGGGCCUUACCUGACGCUGAGGAGCGAAAGCGUGGGGAGCAAACAGG